rnacentral:rRNA from 1 species
UACAGAGGGGGCCAGCGUUAUUCGGAAUUACUGGGCGUAAAGGGCUCGUAGGUGGCCAACUAAGUCAGACGUGAAAUCCCUCGGCUUAACCGGGGAACUGCGUCUGAUACUGGAUGGCUUGAGUUCGGGAGAGGGAUGCGGAAUUCCAGGUGUAGCGGUGAAAUGCGUAGAUAUCUGGAGGAACACCGGUGGCGAAGGCGGCAUCCUGGACCGACACUGACACUGAGGAGCGAAAGCCAGGGGAGCAAACGGG